CCUACGGGGGACAGCAGUGAGGAAUAUUGGUCAAUGGACGAGAGUCUGAACCAGCCAAGUAGCGUGAAGGAUGACUGCCCUAUGGGUUGUAAACUUCUUUUAUAUGGGAAUAAAACGUUCCAAGUGUGGGAUUUUGUAUGUACCAUAUGAAUAAGGAUCGGCUAACUCCGUGCCAGCAGCCGCGGUAAUACGGAGGAUCCGAGCUUUAUCCGGAUUUAUUGGGUUUAAAGGGACCGUAGGUGGAUUGUUAAGUCAGUUGUGAAAGUUUGCGGCUCAACCGUAAAAUUGCAGUUGAAACUGGCAGUCUUGAGUACAGUAGAGGUGGGCGGAAUUCGUGGUGUAGCGGUGAAAUGCUUAGAUAUCACGAAGAACUCCGAUUGCGAAGGCAGUUCACUGGACUGCAACUGACACUGAGGCUCGAAAGUGUGGGUAUCAAACAGGAUUAGAUACCCCAGUAGUC
rnacentral:rRNA from 1 species